AGGACGAACGCUGGCGGCGUGCUUAACACAUGCAAGUCGAACGGAAAGGCCUCUUCGGAGGUACUCGAGUGGCGAACGGGUGAGUAACACGUGGGUAAUCUGCCCUGCACUUCGGGAUAAGCUUGGGAAACUGGGUCUAAUACCGAAUAGGACCAUUUAGCGCAUGCUUUAUGGUGGAAAGCUUUUGCGGUGUGGGAUGGGCCCGCGGCCUAUCAGCUUGUUGGUGGGGUGACGGCCUACCAAGGCGACGACGGGUAGCCGGCCUGAGAGGGUGUCCGGCCACACUGGGACUGAGAUACGGCCCAGACUCCUACGGGAGGCAGCAGUGGGGAAUAUUGCACAAUGGGCGCAAGCCUGAUGCAGCGACGCCGCGUGGGGGGUGAAGGCCUUCGGGUUGUAAACCCCUUUCAGCAGGGACGAAGCGAAAGUGACGGUACCUGCAGAAGAAGCGCCGGCUAACUACGUGCCAGCAGCCGCGGUAACACGUAGGGCGCAAGCGUUGUCCGGAAUUAUUGGGCGUAAAGAGUUCGUAGGUGGUUUGUUAAGUCUGAUGUUAAAUAUUGGGGCUCAACCCUGAACAUGCAUUGGAUACUGGCAGACUUGAGUGUGGUAGAGGCUAGUGGAAUUCCCAGUGUAGCGGUGAAAUGCGUAGAUAUUGGGAAGAACACCGGUGGCGUAGGCGACUAGCUGGGCCAUAACUGACACUGAGGAACGAAAGCCAGGGUAGCGAAUGGGAUUAGAUACCCCAGUAGUCCUGGCCGUAAACGAUGGAUACUAGGCGUAUCGGGUAUCGACCCCUGAUGUGCCGCAGCUGACGCGAUAAGUAUCCCGCCUGAGUAGUACGGCCGCAAGGUUAAA
rnacentral:rRNA from 1 species